GGUCUGAGGAAAAGUUAUGGAAAUCAAGAUCACACAAGGGCCUCAUUGCCUGGUGAAUGUAAUGCCAUGGCUGCCUACAUGAACGUUGAGGCUGGCUAGCAUCAUGGUGCGAGUGGACUGACCGAUGAAAUCUCCAAAGUGAAGAGGCAGGUUACAUUAUACAUGCCUCCUCAUAUGAAAGCUGUGGGUAUGCCCCAGGAGAAGCAAACCACGAUGCUGAUGAGAAAAGCGCCCUCACCUCCUUCAACCUGGAGAGAAGGAAGGUGGAGGCCAAGAUCCUAUGGGACUUCACAGAGAUGAUUCAUGAGAAUGUCAA